GAAUAUUGGACAAUGGGCGAAAGCCUGAUCCAGCCAUGCCGCGUGUGUGAAGAAGGUCUUCGGAUUGUAAAGCACUUUAAGUUGGGAGGAAGGGCAGUAAGCGAAUACCUUGCUGUUUUGACGUUACCGACCGAAUAAGCACCGGCUAACUCUGUGCCAGCCGCCGCGGUAAUACAGAGGGUGCAACAGUUAGUCGGAAUUACUGGGGGUCAAGGGGGCGUAGGUGGUUCGGUAAGUUGGAUGUGAAAUCCCCGGGCUCAACCUGGGAACUGCAUCCAAAACUGGCGAGCUAGAGUAGGGAAGAGGGUGGUGGAAUUUCCUGUGUAGCGGUGAAAUGCGUAGAUAUAGGAAGGAACACCAGUGGCGAAGGCGACCACCUGGGCUCAUACUGACACUGAGGUGCGAAAGCGUGGGGAGCAAACA
rnacentral:rRNA from 1 species